UGUGAGAUGGCACCAACCUUGUGCAGGAGC
rnacentral:piRNA from 1 species